rnacentral:tRNA from 1 species
GUUUUCUGAUGGCAAACGGACACGGCCACUGCUUCUGUUGGAAGCGGCGUCGUGCGUUCAUUUUGCACGUGAAAGCA